rnacentral:lncRNA from 1 species
GCAAAUUAAAGGAAAUGAAAUAACAAAAUAAAGAUAUCACAAACUAAUUUAUCUAGAACGUUUCGAAAACUUUAACCAAACAAAUUGAUGAAGAGAAUAAGAUGAAGAGAAAUCAAACCUUGUAAGCUAGCUCUGAUACCAAAUGAUGUCAACCUUAUAUGGAAGAGAAGAUUACACGCCAAGAUCGAUACUUAUAAGGUUUGCCAAAAGAUAUUUGCAGAACUAUCACCCUUAUUUAUAAAGAAAUAAGAUCAAUAGCUAUAAUGGGAUGAACUUAAU